AUACGGAGGGUGCAAGCGUUAAUCGGAAUUACUGGGCGUAAAGCGCGCGUAGGCGGUUUGUUAAGUUGGAUGUGAAAGCCCCGGGCUUAACCUGGGAGGGUCAUUCAAAACUGGCAGACUAGAGUGUGGUAGAGGGUAGUGGAAUUCCUAGUGUAGCGGUGAAAUGCGUAGAGAUUAGGAGGAACACCAGUGGCGAAGGCGACUGCCUGGACCAACACUGACGCUGAGGUGCGAGAGCGUGGGUAGCGAACAGGAUUAGAAACCCUAGUAGUCC
rnacentral:rRNA from 1 species